UUUUUUUGGGGGGGGGGCCCAUCUUCCAAUUUUCCAAUCUCACCAAUUUAUAAAUCAUACAUUUAGAACACAAUACAGAAAUAAACACAAUUAUAGUCCUCCACACAGGUCAGGACAGAAAUAAACACAAUUAUAGUCCUCCACACAGGUCAGGGCAGAAUUAAACAAAAUUAUAGUCCUCCACACAGGUCAGGGCAGAAUUAAACAAAAUUAUAGUCCUCCUCACAGGUCAGGACAGAAAUAAACAAAAUUAUAGUCCUCCACACAGGUCAGGACAGAAAUAAACAAAAUUAUAGUCCCCCACACAG
rnacentral:lncRNA from 1 species